AGCCUGCGGUUUAAUCGGACUCAACGCCGGGAAACGUCACCAGAUAAGACAGCUGAAUGAUAGUCGGGCUGAAGACUCUACUUGACUAGCUGAGAGGAGGUGCAUGGCCGUCGUCAGUUCGUACUGUGAAGCAUCCUGUUAAGUCAGGCAACGAGCGAGACCCACGCCAACAGUUGCCAGCUCGUCCUCCGGGAUGGUGGGGACACUGUUGGGACCGCCUCUGCUAAGAGGAGGAAGGAAUGGGCAACGGUAGGUCAGCAUGCCCCGAAUUAUCUGGGCUACACGCGGGCUACAAUGGUUGGUACAAUGGGUAUCUACCCCGAAAGGGGACGGGAAUCUCCUAAAACCAAUCUUAGUUCGGGAUUGAGGGCUGCAACUCGCCCUCAUGAAGCUGGAAUCCGUAGUAAUCGCGUUUCAACAGAACGCGGUGAAUACGUCCCUGCUCCUU
rnacentral:rRNA from 1 species